AGUGAACGCUGGCGGCAGGCCUAACACAUGCAAGUCGAACGGCAGCACAGUAAGAGCUUGCUCUUACGGGUGGCGAGUGGCGGACGGGUGAGGAAUACAUCGGAAUCUACUUUUUCGGGGGGGAUAACGUAGGGAAACUUACGCUAAUACCGCAUACGACCUACGGGUGAAAGCAGGGGAUCUUCGGACCUUGCGCGACUGAAUGAGCCGAUGUCGGAUUAGCUAGUUGGCUGGGUAAAGGCCCACCAAGGCGACGAUCCGUAGCUGGUCUGAGAGGAUGAUCAGCCACACUGGAACUGAGACACGGUCCAGACUCCUACGGGAGGCAGCAGUGGGGAAUAUUGGACAAUGGGCGCAAGCCUGAUCCAGCCAUACCGCGUGGGUGAAGAAGGCCUUCGGGUUGUAAAGCCCUUUUGUUGGGAAAGAAAAGCAGCAGGUUAAUACCCCGCUGUUCUGACGGUACCCAAAGAAUAAGCACCGGCUAACUUCGUG
rnacentral:rRNA from 1 species